AUUCCUCCCGCUAACAAUUCAGGUAAAUACAGUAAAACCCUAGUUUCAAAAUUCGUUGCCUCGGUAUAUAUAUCUUCGGCUGAAAGCCCUGAACGCCUACGCCGGUAUAAACCUCAGCUAACAAUCAUGUUUAAAAUUUCAUGACUGUAUAGGUUAGUGCACUGGGUUCUGGUGGGCGAAUGCAGAUCAAUGUGGGAAUUGGGCUUAGACCCUAUGCGCCUCUCCCAUGUGAAGCUUUUGGCAUUUGAUCUCCAUGCCCUGCAAAAUCCUUCUUCAUGGGGAGGCCCAGACACCUUCUGGAGAAAGGGGAGGCCUGUUAGAAAUGUAGAGAUGAUGGGUGUGGUUGUUAGCAGGGAAAGAAAAGAUAAGUUUCUUAAGUUUGAGGUAGAUGAUGGCACUGCUUGUGUUCCAUGCAUUCUCUGGCUCAACCAUCUCACUUCCAGAUAUUAUUCAAGGGUUCAGAAGCCUCAUCUGGAUUGUGUUGCCGCAAUGGCUCUUGAACAAGACGAGGAGGUGCAGUUGGGUCGAUUGGUGAGGUUGCAGGGCAGGGUUGCUGUUUACAACAAGCAAUUGCAGUGAAAACAUCAAUAUUGCAUUCCAUUGCAUUAGUUCUACUGAUACAAAGUUUUGAUCAAAACAAAUAUGCUGCGUUGGCAUGCAAAAGCAUCUAUCUUGUUGAGCUUCGGUAGAAGAAAUACGUACAACCACAGCAACCAAAACAUGAUCGUAUAGUAUAGUUCAACUCUCCAGUCAACUUCGCGAAUGAGUUUUUCAGAAAUCAUUUCUGAACCUAAAAUUCAUUUGACACCUCUUAUCGUUUGUUGAUGAUCAUCUACGUUGGCAAGAUAAACAUUACCUGCUGUGCCAGUGGCUUGUUUAAUUAAUCAUGUUUGCAAUUGAAUCUGAUUUGUAGAUUCCAGUUGAAGUUAUUAGUGAGAAAUUAGUUGAAGAGACGUGGUUGGCAAAUUAUGAAAUUAAUUUAAGGCUUGUUAAAUUUUAUUUAAAUAUUCUCUGUUUAGCCAUUUAAAAACUUGUCUGUACAGGAAUAGUUUUAUCUCUUUUGAGGUUGAAAUAUCUUGGGACUGAUGGUUGUAAAGAUUAGAAGUCCAAAGACUUGCAGGAAAAAACUUAUAUUAGCUUUUGCCUUCUGACUAGGCAAGGUUUUGAGGUUAGCACUUUCGGUGGAUAAGGGCACUGGCUGAAAAAAUGGAUUUUGGUAUAGGGCUAUUUUGUUCUUUAAUUUUUGCAGCAUUUUUCUGAUUUUUUCCUAAUUUAAUCCUUCAUAAAUUGAAAAAAUUGUAUCUUUUGGUUUACCGAGUUAUUUCUGAGAUAUGCUAUAGAGUGUGGUAAUAUACACAUGGCUUAACUAUUAUGGUGUGGCAUGGAGAUGAGUAUGCACUUCGAUUUCUAUCUGACAACUAAAAUACUCUUGAGGCAAAGGCAAACAUUUUUCGGAGUAGCAUGAUUACAAGCUGAUUGCUAUGAUGGAGAGGGGAAUUGUACGCAAUGUUAUAUGAACUCAUUAUACUGUGGGAAAGACCCCAACUGCUUCUUGAGUAGUCUGACGAAACACCUUUAAGAAAUUGGUGUAAAGGAUAAAGUUCUGGACUGCUUUUGAGUAGUUGAUUGAACACCUUAAAAGAAAUUGGUGAAAGGAUAAUUUUAGGACUGACUUUGAGUAGUUGAUAGCAAAACCUUGAAGAAAUUGGUAAAAGUACAGGUUCAGUAGUGUCAUUCAGUUCCAUUUUGCACUUUCAGUGUCAUGCCAUGUACCUACAAUCUUAAUAGGCUCUUUGGCCAGGUUUUUUGAAAUCCUUGUUUGCAAUAUAAUUCAUAUUGGGGUGUUUUGAAAUCCUUGUUUGCAGUUUAAUUCAUAUCGGGGUGUUUUGAUUUUUCUCAAACUAUUUGAUGGUGGACCUAUUGUAUUGAACCUAUCUCUAAUUGAAAAUUUGACACCACUUUAAGUUGUUAAGUCUUUGUUUGUAUAUUAUGUAUGGGUGUUUAAUCUGCUAAUCCAUGGCCUGUUAUACA